CAGCAGACACAUUCCAGCCAAUCAGCAGCAGACCCUCCCAGACCCUCCCACCUCCUGGACAGUUCACUAAGAAUGCAGCUUCACAAUGAAUGUAAAAUGGAUGCUGUCCAGGAGGUGGGAGGGUCUUGGAGGGAGGGUCUGCUGCUGAUUGGCUGGAAUGUGUCUGCU
rnacentral:miRNA from 1 species